AGUGAGGUAGUUUAAUAAGAACAUUGGGCUCAUGACCUGAAAGUGGGGAUAUAGAUCUCUCCUCUCGCUU
rnacentral:tRNA from 1 species